GACGAACGCUGGCGGCGUGCUUAACACAUGCAAGUCGAACGGAAAGGCCCUGCUUUUGUGGGGUGCUCGAGUGGCGAACGGGUGAGUAACACGUGAGUAACCUGCCCUUGACUUUGGGAUAACUUCAGGAAACUGGGGCUAAUACCGGAUAGGAGCUCCUGCUGCAUGGUGGGGGUUGGAAAGUUUCGGCGGUUGGGGAUGGACUCGCGGCUUAUCAGCUUGUUGGUGGGGUAGUGGCUUACCAAGGCUUUGACGGGUAGCCGGCCUGAGAGGGUGACCGGCCACAUUGGGACUGAGAUACGGCCCAGACUCCUACGGGAGGCAGCAGUGGGGAAUAUUGCACAAUGGGCGGAAGCCUGAUGCAGCAAUGCCGCGUGCGGGAUGACGGCCUUCGGGUUGUAAACCGCUUUCGCCUGUGACGAGGCGUGAGUGACGGUAAUGGGUAAAGAAGCACCGGCUAACUACGUG
rnacentral:rRNA from 1 species